rnacentral:lncRNA from 1 species
CCCAGUGAAGCACAACACUUUAUACUCAUGACUGCAUUGAGUACCCGUGGACAAAGGCCAAGGGAUUCUUUAUCGGGAAUAUUUCCACGAGAGUUGGCCUAACUACAGAAAAUACUGUGUACCUCUUGUGAUCUGGUAGGUCAAAUGCAAGUUUUUCUUAAAAUGCUUAUAUUAACUUUUCAUUUAGUUUCAUAGUUGCUUCCAUGUUCCUUUUAUUAUAAAAAUAAUUUUUUAGUCACUUAACUCCCUCAUAGUAAUUCCCAUCCUCAAGCAAAAUCAGUGAUUCAGGAAAAUACAUUAUGACUUUGUUGAUUUGUGUAACCUGUAGUGGCCAUAAUUUCUUUUUCAGUGAAGAUGAGAUCUACAGAAGUGACACUUCUAUCCUGUCUUCCCACCCUUCCCUAUACUUUCCUCUCUAUAUCUUCAUUCUGUAGCACAAAGUGACUCAUGUUUGGAGAGAAGUUAAAAGUGUUAUGACAUUGCCAGAAGUCAUAAACUGAGGGAAAGGGAAAUCUUACUUCAUAUAUAGUGUGCCUGUGCCUACAUGUGCAUGUGUGGGAUCAAAGAGCUGGGAAGAAAACAUCACCUCACAGGAAUAUGGAUCUGCAUAAAAUAUUGGGUCGAACAUUUCUUUAAAUUUUGGGAUUUGCACAAGGUACAAUAAGGAGCAGAUUAGUUUAUAAUUAAAAAUGUUUCUCCACCAGCAAUAAUUCAAUGACUUGUGAUGUUCGAUUAUGGAGACAGAAAAGAAGAUUGUCAGGUAGGUGUUAGGCCACUUAUGAACCAUCCCACUAAGUUUAAAAGCUACACUUAAAAGACCCUCUUCCGAGCUUAAAAAAAAAAAAGUUUUAAGAACAGGGUAGAAAUAGCAAGAUAUGUGAAGCUAAAUAAUAUAAUUAACUGAAAAUAUAUUUCAAAAACUAAGUCUUACUCAGGUCAUCCAUCAUCAACAAAUAUAGAUUACAAACUACUGUGUGUGCAAGCUGCUUAAAAUGGAAUAACAUCUCCAUCAUUAUUUGCACUGCCAACACCUAGCAUGGAUGUAGUUGUUCAUUGCUGUGAUCAGGUUGUACACUCAUCUGAAAGCCCAAGUGUGUAUGUGUGUGUGUGUGUGUGUGUGUGUUUGUGAUACACCUCCAAGCUCAAAUAAUUGUUGGCAAACUUCAGUUCCACUAUGACUGGUUGAAAAUUUCAAGUCCUUUCCACAUGGGCAUCUCCAUAGACUUCCUGAAUAUCUGCACAGCAUGGCAGCCAGCUUUCCCCAACAUGAACGUUCUGAUGGAGAGAGACAAAGAGGGACAGAUAUUCCCCAAGACAAAAUCCAUAAUCUUUGAAAACCUUAUCUUGUAGGUGACAAAUCAUCACUGUGCUGUGUACAGCUGGUCACACAGAUGACCUUGGUAUAAUUAUGUGAGGGAAUCCAUGAGGGUGUGAACACUGGGAGGCAGUGAUCACUGGGGUUUUUUUGAAAGCUGCCUAUUCCAAUGAACUCAGUCAUAUAUUAAAAUCCUCAAUAUUAUGGGACAAAUGGAUAGAUGAACGAUGCUGUUUGCCACAUAGCACUCUCCCACAGCAAUGACUUUAAUGAUAUUAUUAGAUAUUAUAUGACUAUAAGCCCGAAAUGUGCAUCUGUGAGGAAAUUUCUCAGAGUAGGGCAUGGAAAUCACAAUAUCAUAAAGUUAACUACAAUAAAACCCCAAAUAUAAUUUAGAAAGUUAGUCAGUAUACAGCAAACAAAUUAAAACAGUCUGCAUUCCACAAUCAAGAUCAGAAGUGAAAUAAAGCAUUUAAGAAGCUUAAUAUCAUAUUUUUCUACAUGCUAUGAUACAUAUGUUUUGGGAUAGCAUUUUGUUUUUUAAUUCCUUAGUAAUUAUAGCAGCUAAGAAUUACUGCAUGGCAUAGUAAAUCUUUUAUUCAUACAAUGUAGAUACCUACUACAGGAAAUAUGAGGACAGCAGAAACCAUUAAGCUUACUGAAACAUUAAAUUUUAACAUAGGAAGCAUAUUCUAAUGUAGCCUAUAAGAAGAUGAAAAUAGAAAAAUGUGUUUCACAGACAACUUUCAGAUUUCUAUCAGAUCAGUGUAAACUAAGGGAAAUCUCAGGUCUUGGAGCUGCCAUGUUUAAAUGUGGUUUGUCCCCAAAAAUCUCAUGUUGAGGCUUGGUCCCCAAUGUGGUGGCGAUAAAAUUUAGUGUCUUUGAAGAGGUGAUUAGGUGAUUGCUUUUCUCCUGGGAGUGAGUUCCUGCUCUCCAGGGACUGGAAGGUUACUGUGAGAGUGGGUUGCUAAAAUGCAACUUCAGCUUCCAGGGCUAUGUCUUUCUUGCUUGAGCUCACUUGCACAUGUGCUGUUUGCUCAUGGCCCUGAUUGUUCACAUGCUGUGAUGCCGCCAGGGGCUGUCACCAGACACUGGCAGGAUGCUGUCUGGACUCCCGAGCCACUAGAAUCAUGAGGUAAAUAUACUUCUUUUCCUUAUGAAGUACCCAAUAUCAGGAAUCCCGUGAUACCAAUACAAAAUGAACCAAGAAAGGAUCCAAGCAAACCUGGAUUUGAAUCCUGGCUUCAACGCUUACUAGCCAUUAUCAGACACACAUUUCAAUAGAGUCCUGGUCUACUUCCAUUUGCCAUGACUUCUGGUUGCUUAUUUUUUUUUAAUGCAGAUUUUGGCUUAGAAAUUGCUCAAGCCUAUGACACAAACUUUGAUAAACUAAUGUAACAUCAUGUAACAUCUCUGAGUCAUUUCCUUGGAUGUUAAAUGUAUAUAAGUUUGUUGUAAAUCAAGCAGUGAAUGUGAUGCCAACAGCAGUGAAGGGUGGGUUAUGCACAGAUCUUACACACUACUUCAGAUUCCUCUAACUCCACCUGUCUCCACACUAUAGGUUCAUCUGUCACUAUUGUACCCUAAACUCAAUUUGGCCUUAUUGUUCUGGCCACCCAGUAAUUUGCUCCAGAUGUACUGGGUUUUCUAUCUUGGCUGAUCACGAGCACCCUUAGAAUUUGUCAUUCUGAGCACCAUUUCUGGGUCUAGACAGAAGACUACACAGCAAGUUUUGGGAACUAGUGUCUCAAGAGGUCUCAGGAAGGACUGUAUGACAUACCCUAGAAGUUCAGGGGCCUUAUCUCCUUGUAGGGAAAAAAAAUGUGACCAUUGAGAAACUACAGUUGAGAGGAAACUGGGCAGAUUAAUCGUCUCUCCUUCCUCUUUCCUUAAAUGAUAUUUUCUCUUGCCACCAAAUGGGAACUGCCCAAGUAGAAAUGGCUGCUGACCAACCCUGUGCUUCCUUGACUUCUCAUGGAGCCAUGCAUCAUUUCAAUCACAUCCUUCCUCACCAGGAAUUCUCAGACACACAUUUCAACAGAGUCCUGGUCUACUUCCUAUUGCCAUCACUUCUGGUUGCAGAUUUUUUUUUAAUGAAGAUUUUGGGUAAGAAAUUGCUCAGGCUUAUGACACAAACUUUGAUAAACUAAUAAAACACUCAUAUCUUGAACAUAUGCCAAUGUCCAUGGGAGCUACUGUUGCAGAAAAUCAGCCUUUCUGGAAAGUUGGAAAUAGUGACAUGAGAGAAGAAACAUCCCAGCUAUUUGUUCUGACUUCAGGAGGAAUCAUUUAAGCUAGAAAUUCCAAACAUCCUCACUUGUUUUUUCUCUCUCACCCUCUGCAUCCUAUCACCCUUGCUUAGUCACUGUAACCUUUCUAACCACUUCCCUGCUUUUUGUCCUUUAUCAGCAUAGAUUUGACUCUCAGUCUUCUGGACAAGAGCUUCAGAGCCUCUGUCCCACCAGCUCCAAUUUCAUCCUACUGAACCCAUUCUCCAAGUUGCUAUCAGAUUAGUCUUUCUAGAAUAUAAGGCAGCUUGCUUGGCUUCUCUACUCAUGAAUCAGUAAUCCCUCAUAGCUUUUAGAGCGUGCCUUCAAUUAAAGCUUUCAGAUUAAACUCAUUGUGAGACCUUCCCCUACCCCCUAUCCACCUCCCCUGCCAAUAUGAAUAAUUACAACGCUGUAUGACAAAUACUUAAAAAGGACAAGCUAAGUGCUGUAAGAAGGGAGAGACAGUAUCACACUCUAGCUGGGUCAGUGGACGGCAGUUUAAAAGAGGUAUGGUGUUUGAGCAAUAUAUUUUCUAAAAUUAGUUUUAGGAAGUGUCCAACACAUUUACCCUUUUAUUGUUUUUUUUUCUCCUUAUAUACAAAUGUUGAUGCUGGUCUAUGAUUGUAUUGUUUAAAGAAUUCUCUACUUCUCCCUGUGGGAGAAUCCUGUGUGUUCUACUGUGGCUUUUCAUGUAACUCGCUACCCUCAUUGACCCACUGAAUUGGUGCCAGCCUUGGCCACAUGGCUUCUUUGUCUAGUGAGAUGCGGGUGGAAAUGAUGUGUGCCUCUUCUGAGUAGAAGCUUUAAGAGCUCUGGUGUGGUUCUUCCACUUUCUUUUUUCCCCUCAUCAUGAGAUCAUCAUGUCACUGCUCUUUCAGUCUGGGUCCAAAACAAAGGCUAUUUGGAGCAGAAUUGCAGCUGACCUGCAAUGGGCAAGCAACAUAUGAGAGGAAUAAACCUUCACUGUUAUAAGUCUCUGAGAUUUUAGGGUUGAUUUUUACUGUAGUGUAGCCUAAUCUAGGCUGAUCCAUACAUUUACUUACAUAGUAUUUAUCUAUUGCUGCUUAAAACUUACCCCCAAAUUAGUGGCUUAAAACAGCCAUGACAGAUGAUUGUUUAGUUUACUCCCAAAUCUGUAAUUCAAGCAGGGGUUAGGGCUGAGGGGAGCUGCAGAUAGCUCUUUCCUGUUCCAUACUUACACAGUUCAAUGGUUGGGAGCUGCAACCAUAGGAGGUCUUACUCAUGUGUCUGGUGGUUGAGGCUGGCUGUCAGCUGGGAUCUCUGCUGAACUGUAGCCAGAGCACCCACAUGCAGCUUUUCUUUCUUUUCUGUUUCUUUUUCUUUUUUUCUUUGAUGGUGCUGGGCCAUGUGCAUGUUAAAGCCCCAGCCCACUGUAGCCUUUCUCAGUUGGCUACUCGCUUUCCUCACAGAAUGGGCUUGGGUCUCCUAGGUGAAUACACCAAAAUAAGCAAGUAGAAGUGCCAUGUCCUUUCAUGACCCAGAUUUCCAUGUCAUGGAGAACCACAUCUCAUAUACAAAAAGAACAAAUAAACAAGAGAAACUAAAAAAUUGAUAUUAGGGUUCUCCAUAGAAACAGAACCCAUAAGAUGUGGUGUGUGUGUGUGUGUGUGUGUGUGUGUGUAAAAGAGAGAGAGAGAUUUCAAGGAAUUGGCUCAUGCAGUUGUGGGAGUUAGCAUGUUCAAAAUCUGUGGACGGCCUGGCAGGAGUAUAUGUCAGCCUUGAGUCUGAAGGUGGCCUGGAGGCAGAAUUUCUUCAGAAUUAGGUCACAAAAAAUGAGUUCCCUGGGAGAAACACAGUUCUAACCUCACAAGAGGGAAUAUGGGGUUUUGUGUGUGUGUGUGGUGUGUGUAAGAGAGAGAGAUUCAACUUUUAAAAAAUCCAUUCAUGGACACUAAUGAAAAGUGGCUAUUUUAUAAAAAAAAAAAAUUCAUAGGGCAGGUAGGGCAGGGAAAGUUUAUAAUGCACAUUCAACUUAAACUACCUGAAUUACAAUGAAAAAUAUCAAAUCAACCUAAUCAGAAAACUAAAUUCUCUCACAGGUAAAAAGAAAAGGAAAAAUGAAUGGAGAAAGUUCAAAGGAGAAAAUGACAAAUAUUUGUCAUUAAAAUGAUCUCAGAGUUGUAGUUAAUACACUUAAUCUAGUAAAUUAAUAAAACAACUAAAGUAGGUACUAUAAAAUAUUAUCUAACCAUAUGUGACACAUUUGAAGGAAGUUAGAAAGGUAUUUGAGGGUGAGGGUGUAUUUGAACCUAAAGGUCAGGGUAUUAAAAAUAAUCCCAUAUGAUGAGCAUUAAUUUAGAAUCUUCCAUUAUCUCCACCAUUACACAAAAAGAAUGGGCAGGAAGGUUUAGUAGUUCUGUCAGUGGGAUUAUUACAUUGGAAUGACAUUAUCCCCAAUCCUUCAUCCUGACCCCAUAUUUCUGAUGGAUAGUAACUGCAUAAAACUUAUCAAUUGUCAUUUAGAAACUGCAACUUGCUUGGGUUCAAAGAAGAAUUCAAAUGAUAAUUGCUAUAGACAGAAUUUUUUCUAUCCCCUCCCAAAUUCAUAUGUGGAAAUCUUAACCUCUAGUCUGGUGGCUUUUGUGGGUGCGACUUUUGGGAGGCGAUUAGGUCAGAAGGUUGGAGUCCUCACAAAUGAGACUCGUGUCCUAAAAAAAAGAACCCAGUGAGCUCUUCUCACCUCUUCUGCCAUGUGAGAUCACAAUGAGAUGAUGACCAUCCAUGACCCAGGAAGACGGCCCUCACUAGACACUUAACCUGAUUUUGCCUUUACCUCAGACAUCCCAGCAUCUAGACUGUAAGAAAUAAAUUUCUGUUGUUCAUAAACCACACAUUUUAUAUUUCAUUGUAGCAGCCAUAUAACACUAAGAUAGUAAUUUCAAUUCACCCUAAAAGCAGUUCAUUAGACAAUGUCAUCUAAACAGGAUGACUCAGGUAUUCUUAAAGCAAAUGAUUUUUCAAUCCUGGAAAAUUAAUAAAGAAUGUAAAUCAAAUGUGUAGACUUAACAUUUGUGUACUGUGUUUAAAAAUAAGAAUUUCAUCAGUAGGAUAGUCUCCCAACACUUGAAUAUAAAGUACUUUCAGUGUUUAAGAGAUUCUGAGAUGGAAGCCUAGAGGUUCUUAAUAAAUUAUGUAAUUGGUUUUAGAGUUUUGGGUCUGAGUUGAAUAUUAGAGAAUAGUUUUCUAAAAUAUAUACACUGUAUUGAGAGGCUUAAGUCAAUUUUAGAUUAACUAUAUUUAUAAGUUAAUUUAUUAGGUGGAUGAUAGUUUCAGUAUUUGGAAAAAGUUUGCUAGGCCUGCAAAUUUUGAAGUAUUUAAUAAUAGUUAUAAUUGCAUUAAAAUAUUUGUUUAUUUUUUGCAUUAAAUAUUUAAAUAACUUAAUAUACUAAGUUUGUAAAUAGGUUAAUAUGUUUUGAAUUGAGGUGGUCAAAACCUUUUCCAGAAGUAACAGUUUUUAUUUAAUUUAAUUCUGUUUUUUUUUUUUUUUUGUACUGGGGAUUGAACCCAGGGGUGCUUUGCUACUGAGCUACAUCCCCAUCCCUUUAUUUUAUUUUGAGACCGGGUCUCCCUUGUAAUCCUCCUGCCUCAGUCUCCCAAGUUGCUGGGAUUAUAGGCAUGCACCAGAGCACCUGGCUGAUUUCAUUCUUAAAUUUACAAGAUUGACAAAAGCAAUAAAGUUUUGAAGAAACUUGUUUCUAAAUUUUCACUUUAAUAAACUAAAUUUUAAUUUAAAUCCAAGCAUCUUUAAAUAGCUUAUCUAAACUUGAAAGCUCCCCCAGGAAGACCUAAAAUGGAGGUCAAAGACCAAAUUUCCACUGUGAUAAGAAUUGAGAUUUUGAGUCAGAAGCAAUUAAAACUGGUAUCAAAGUAAUACCAAAGAUGACUGAAUUAAACUUUCUCAAGUUGUAGAAACAGAUGAUUAGCAGUGUUUGGUAGAAUGGCAAAGCAAGAAAGCAAAUAAGAGAUCCUUCAUUUUAACAUAUGCUGGAAAACUUCAUAAAUUAAAACAGUGAGUAUCCAGCCAGGGGAAUUUUUUGUUUGUUUGUUUGUUUUGCCAACUUUAAAAAGAUGAAAGAUCAGGCUAUCUUCAUCAAGACUAAAUACCCUAAAACUUGGAAAAGAAAAAAUAUCGGGUAAGCCUCCUAUCAUUUAUGGGGAUAACAGAAGGUAGUCUAAUUUUACAAUGACUGAAAGACUAUAACAUCUACGAUCACCAACUGGCUGGGUUGAUGAUAUGAACUGAGUUUAAAGGAGCUGGCUGUAUCAAUAACAAAGAAAACAGCGAAGAAAGCUCGCAAUACACAGAAAUACCUUUUGCAGGAAUCAGGGAUGUUUCUGAGACCUCUGGGGUCUGCUGGAAAGAGAGUGUGCAUCUAGAUUAUUUUUAUGGGAGGGACCCACAAAAGGAGGUUCCAUGGAAUGUUCUUUCCAAAUAAAGCAAGGGGUCAUGUUUCAGGGGGUUGAAUCUAGCUUCCCAAUGUCCUGUGGUCAGUAGAUUGAUUGACAUCUUGGCAAGUCACAACCAUCUCAGGUGCCCUGUGGGAACACAGGCAGAGGAAAGUGCACACAAUCCACAAUCGUUGCACAACCCAAAGAGCAUGCAAGGACAGGCUGGUCCUCCCGUAUGCUCAAAUGCGCAUAGCUCACACACACAGUCCAUGGAUGGCUCACGACAAUCUACAUAACCCAUUUAGAGAAAAAAGGCUUCAAAAGUGUACUUUUAAUGGCAAAGAGAUUAGCAAAGUAAAGAUUUGAGAAUAAGGAUGAGAAUAUACAAAUGCAUGACAAGUCUCUACCUUCAUAACCAAUGUAAAACUCCAAAUGCAAGAUCCUUCUGGACAGAUUUUAACCGUGACUGAGCUGUUUCACUUCUACUUUUACUUUCUUCUCAGUACUAAGAAAUCUGUUUUUCUGGCAGCAUACUCGUUAUCUUAUUAACUAGGUGAAAUCUCUGACCAUUUUUGGAGUAAAAAUGUAAUAAUCCUAUUGGUUGUAUUCUAUUAAGUAGCUGAAUCUCAACAAUGACUUAGUUUGAUGACUUAGGUGUUAUUUAUAUGGGUUACAAAGAAGAGAUGCAUAAUAACCAUUUUAAUUGCCAAAGAAUUUGAAAAACUUUUUGAUAAUCAAAUGUAAUAUGAAGUGAUUUGAGUCAUUGAUCAUUUUAUUGCCCUUUUUAAUUGGAAAGAAACUAACAAACCACUUAAAGACAAAUAUUAUGUUUCAAAAGCUCUUUUUCAUAUUGUGUUCCUUGAAGAAUGAAAAAAUAUGUUAAAUAAACAUAAUGAUCAGAAAGAUUUCUAAAUACAUAAAUAAAUACUAUAAGAUAAUAUGCCAAAAUAUUAACUGAGUUGUGUGUUCUGUGUGAUUUUGAAUUUUUUCAGCAUUUUGUAUUAUUGAAAUUAUCAUAUGCAUGCAUUACUUUUAUAAUGUGAAUAAAUUUUCAUUUUAAAAAUUGAUUUAUACAACCUUCUAAAUAUAAGAUAGUCAUACUUGCAUAAAAUGUAUAUGUUCAGUGGGAAUUAACCAAAAGAGCUACACAAUUUAAGCAAUAAACUGACAUAGUAUUAGAUAUCGAUCCAAAUUAGAAAACAGAGGUCCACAAGUCCAUAUUGACUCAAUAAAUGAUUAAUAAAUUAAUAAAUAGGGUGAAAGAGACAGAUUUCCCAUGGAGGACAAUUUCAAAUAAUCAUAGAUACUUCCACUCCUUAAGGGGGAGGGCAGGGGAGGCUGUGCAUAGUAACUUUCUUCCAAAGACUACAGUAUGGAGAUGAGGAGGGAAGUAACUUCACAGAAUAAACUCUAUAAACCUGCAUAAACACUAUCAUAGUCAGUGAUAGAGGUCAACAUCAAAGUCAUUAAGCAUAUCAACAGUGUGUACCCUAGAUAGGAUGUAAUGAGAAUAGAACUUUAUCUAUGUGUUCUUCUUUCCAAAACCCAUAACUCCAAUCUAAUCAUGAAAAAGCAUCAGACAAAUUUCAAUUGAGAGACUUUCUACAAAAUACCUGACCAGUAUUUUUCAAACUGUCAAGGUCAUCACAAACAAGGAACAUCUGAGAAAUUGUCACAGCCAUGGGGAUCCUAAGAAGAUAUAACAACUAAAUAAAAUAUGGUAUCCUAAACUGGGCAUGGUGGUGCACACCUGUAAUCUCAGCAGCUCAGGAAGCUGAGUCAGGAAAAUCGCGGUUCAAAGCCAACUUUAGUGAAAGUGAGGUGCUAAGCAACUCAGUGAGACCCUGUCUUUAAAUAAAAUACAAAAUUGGGCUGGGGAUGUGGCUUAAUGGUUAAGUGCCCCUGAGUUCAAUCCCCGUAUACCUCCCCCAAAAAAUACGUUAUCCUAGAUGGGAUCCUCCAAGAAAAUAAAGAGAUUAGAAAAACCCUAGGGAAAUCUGCCUAAAGUGUGGACUUUAGUUAAUAAUAAUAAUGCAUCGAUAUCAAUUUCUUACUUGUAACAAAUAUAUCAUAUCAAUGUAAGGUGUUACUAAUAGGGGAAACCGGAUGCCAGAUAAAUGGGAACGCUCUAUACUAUCUUCUCAAUUUUUCUGAAAAUCUAAACUUUUCUAAGAUACAGAAUCUAUAAUAAAUGCUUUAUUGCUCUUGAAACAUGAAACUUACAAAAUUAGAUGCAUUCUAUCAACAAUUCUGACAGGAGUCCAGGGGCAGCUGGGUAAGUCAAGAAGUUCCAUGCUCUGAUAUGAGUCACUUCACAGAGGCAGUGCUCCCAAACUACCAUACACUAAGUUAGUCGCUUCCAGUCUUAGGUUCCAAAAAGGUUUUCUGAACUUGCAAUAUAAAUGCGUUCUUGAGGAUUCAUGCCUAUGUGUUUGAAAGUCUAGAGGGAGGUGAGAAAGAGGAGGAAGUAGAAUAGGGAUCUAGACUAUUUCUUCCCUUGGCUCUCUGGGUGGUGCAUUUUACCUGUACAACAAUUUUAAUUGAUUCAAAGGUAGUUAGAUCCUCACCUUCCUCUUUAUAUUAAAGAGGUUUUGUAACUUUCUGCCCAAGCUGAUCUUUUUUGCCUUACCCCUCUUUGCUGUAUUGGGUUUAAUUUCUUCUAGGUUUGUCCUUCUUUGUUGAUGCAGGAUGCUGGAAGUUCCAGUGUGGAGAGUGUAGGGGUACUAUAUGAGUACUGAAACUGGGGAAAAGGUUUGUUCAAUUGAGAUAAAUUUAAAUAUAAUACAAAACAGUAUAUAUGUUUUACAGUAACACAUUGUAAAUAUAAUACAUUAUACUAUGCAGUAAGGAAAUAUUCAUGUGUUCAUUAACCAAGUAUAACGAAUACCAACAAGUUCUCAUAUUUAUUUCAGAUUUUUAAAUAAGUUUUUGAAAUUAAUUUAUUUAUUUUAAUUUGUUAUACAUGAUGGCAGCAUGCAUUUCAAUUCAUAGUACACAUAUAGAGCACAAUUUUUCAUGUCUCUGGUUGUACACAAAGUAGAGUCACACCACUCAUGUCUUAUACAUGUACUUAGGGUAAUGAUGAUGUCCAUCUCAUCCACCAUCUUUCCUACCCUUGUUUUCUCCUCCCCCUUUGCCUUAUCUAAUGUUCCUUCAUUCCUCCCAUGCUCCCCCCUCCCACCAUUAUGGAUCAGCACUCACAUAUCAGAGAAAACAGUUGGCCUUUGGUUUUUUGGGAUUGGCUUAAUUCACUUAGCAUGAUACUAUCCAACACAAUCCAUUUACCUGCAAAUGCCAUAAUUUUAUUCUCUUUUAAUGCUAAGUAAUAUUCCAUUGUGUGUAUAUACCAGUUUUCUUUUUAAUCCAUCCAUCUAUUGAAGGGUAUCUAAGUUGGUUCCACAACUUAGCUAAUGUGAUUUUGUGUGCUAUAAACAUUGAUGUGGCUGUGACACUGUAGUAUGCUGUUUUUAAGUCUUUUGGGUAUAAACUGAGGAGUGGGAUAGCUGGGUCAAAUGGUGGUUCCAUUCCAAGUUUUCCAAAGAAUCUCCAUACUGCUUUCCAGAUUGGCUGCACCAAUUUGUAGUCCAACCAGCAAUGCAUGAGUGUGUGCCGCAGUCUGGCUGGGCACAAAUGCCACAGUCUGGCUGGGCACACAAUCAUGAGCCACCACACAGCUUGUAGAUUCAAACAGCAACUCUUUAUUCCCGAACUCACACCAGCCGUCUACAAUCACGUUCUGGGGAAAUCCACGUUCUCUGCCCAAAUCCACUCCCACUGGGCUUCUGUCUCCCAAAAAAUACUGUCUGAAUCCCAUGAGAACUCAAGGGGAACUCAGGCAGCAGGAUACGCCCUAUUCCCAGCAGGAAUAAUCUUAAACCUGGAACCUAAACUGGGAAUGCCCUAAACCCGGGUCCGCCCUGGUCCUUGAGCAAGGUCACCUACAUGCAAUGUCACUGCAAAAUGUCCUAUUUCCACGAGUCCUUCCACUAAGCAACAUGGGGUACGCUGGCAAGGAAAUUGUCAUACCUACUUGGCUAAUGGCUCCCAGCAAGUGUGCAUUUCCCCUGCAUCCUUGCCAACACUUAUUGUUGUUUGUAUUCUUGAUAGCUGCCAUUCUGACUGGGGUGAGAUGAAAUCUUAGAGUGGUUUUGAUUUGCACUUCUCUAAUUGCUAGAGAUGUUGAACAUUUUUUCAUAUAUUUGUUGAUUGAUUGUAUGUUAUCUUCUGAGAAGUGUCUUGGCCCACUUAUUGACUGGGUUAUUUGUUUUUUUGAGGUGUUAAGUUUUUUGAGUUCUUUAUAUAUCCUAGAGAUUAGUGCUGUAUCUGAUGUGUAUGUGGUAAAAAUUUGCUCCCAUUCUGUAGGCUCUCUCUUCAUUUCACUGAUUGUUUGUUUGUUGUUGUUGUUGAGAAUAAACUUUUUAGUUUCAAUUCAUUCCAUUUAUUGAUUCUUGAUCUUAUUUUUAUUUUAUUAUAUUCUUGUCUAUAGGAGUCUUGCUAAGGAAGUUGGGGCCGAAUCCAACAUGAUGAAGAUUUGGGCCUACUUUUCCUCCUCCUCCUCCUCCUUCUUCUUCUUCUUCUUCUUCUUUUUUUUCUUCUUCUUCAUUAUCUUUCUUUCUUUUUUUUUUUUUUUUUUUUUUUUUUUUUUUUAAUUUUUUAUUGUGGGUUGUUCAAAACAUUACAAAUUUCUUGACAUAUCAUAUUCCACACUUUGAUUCUAGUGGGUUAUGAACUCCCACCUUCACCCCAUACACAGAUUGCAGAUUCACAUCAGUUACACAUCCAUUGAUUUACAAAUUGCCAUACUAGUGUCUGUUGUGCUCCGCUGCCUUUCCCAUCAUCCACCCUCCCCCCUCCCCACCUCUCCCCUCCCCUCCCCUCCUCUCUCUCUACCCCCUCCACUGUAUAACCCUGAGGGUCUCCUUCCAUUACCGUGCAAUUUACCUUCUCUCUCCCUUUCCCUCCCACCUCUCAUCCCUGUUAAAUGUUAAUCUUCUUCUCCUGUUCUUCGUCCCUACUCUGUUCUUAGUUACUUUCCUUAUAUCAAAGAAGACAUUUGGCAUUUGUUUUUUAGGGAUUGGCUAGCUUCACUUAGCAUAAUCUGCUCUAAUGCCAUCCAUUUCCCUGUAAAUUCUAUGAUUUUGUCAUUUUUUAAUGCAGAGUAAUACUCCAUUGUGUAUAAAUGCCACAUUUUUUUUAUCCAUUCGUCUAUUGAAGGGCAUCUAGGUUGGUUCCACAGUCUUGCUAUUGUGAACUGUGCUGCUAUGAACAUCGAUGUAGCAGUGUCCCUGUAGCAUGCUCUUUUUAGGUCUUUAGGGAAUAGACCAAGAAGGGGAAUAGCUGGGUCAAAUGGUGGCUCCAUUCCCAGCUUUCCAAGAAAUCUCCAUACUGCUUUCCAAAUUGGCUGCACCAAUCUGCAGUCCCACCAGCAAUGUACAAGUGUACCCUUUUCCCCACAUCCUCGCCAGCACUUGUUGUUGUUUGACUUCCUAAUGGCUGCCAAUCUUACUGGAGUGAGAUGGUAUCUUAGGGUGGUUUUGAUUUGCAUUUCUCUGACAGCUAGAGAUGUUGAGCAUUUUUUCAUGUACUUGUUGAUUGACUGUAUGUCCUCCUCUGUGAAGUGUCUGUUCAGGUCCUUGGCCCAUUUGUUGAUUGGGUUGUUUGUUCUCUUAUUGUCUAAUUUUUUGAGUUCUUUGUAUACUCUGGAUAUUAGGGCUCUAUCUGAAGUGUGAGGAGUAAAGAUUUGUUCCCAGGAUGUAGGCUCUCUAUUUACCUCUCUUAUUGUUUCUUUUGCUGAGAAAAAACUUCUUAGUUUGAGUAAGUCCCAUUUGUUGAUUCUAGUUAUUAACUUUUGUGCUAUGGGUGUCCUAUUGAGGAAUUUGGAGCCCGACCCCACCGACUGUAGAUCGUAGCCAACUUUUUCUUCUAUCAGACGGCGCGUCUCUGAUUUGAUAUCAAGUUCCUUGAUCCAUUUUGAAUUCACUUUUGUGCAUGGCGAGAGAAAGGGAUUCAGUUUCAUUUUGUUGCAUAUGGAUUUCCAGUUUUCCCAGCACCAUUUGUUGAAGAUGCUAUCCUUCCUCCAUUGCAUGCUUUUAGCCCCUUUAUCAAAUAUAAGAUAGUUGUAGUUUUGUGGAUUGGUUUCUGUGUCCUCUAUUCUGUACCAUUGGUCCACACGCCUGUUUUGGUNAGACCUACAACAGACCGCCGGCAGGCUCCUGGGCCUGAUCCGCCGGUCUGUUGUAGGUCUGCCUACCUUGAAGGCGCGGGCGGCGGAUCUGCCCUGCCCCUCCUACCACGCCUGCGGACCCCUGGGCCUGAUCUGCAGGUUGAUCACUGGUCUGCUCACCCUGCGGGCACGGGUGGCGGUUCCGCUCCACCCCCACUCCAAUUGGGGUCACGUGACCACCACACCGGCAGGGCCUGAUCCGGGCGUGGGAUAAGGAUCUGCUCUGCCCCUACUCGAGUUGGGGUGACGUGUGUACCACACUGGCAGGCCACUGGGCCUGACCCGCCAGGCUGUCACAGGUCUGUUUACCUUGCAAGCGCGAAGGGCGGCUCUGCCCUGCCCCUCCUACCACGCCCAUGUACUACUGGGUCGUGGGUCUGCCCACCUGGCGGGUGUGGGUGGCGGCUCCGCUCCGCCCCCUCUCCAAUUGGGGUCACGCGGUCACCACGCUGGCGAGCCGCUGGGCCUGCUCCGGGGGCUGGCGGCGGCCCGGCUCCUUCCCUCUGGCUCGAGGACAAAUUGAGGAGACUCGGGUGACUGAGCCUCACCCCCCUUACCAGGAGACCAACUGCUUAUGUCACCGCUGGUAUUGAUGAAGAUCUCUCCUCCACCGCUUUCUGCUGACAUCAGAUCUCUGCCAUGUUGGUAUCCUAUGCGAAUGGCAGCAUUUCGUUCCCCUUGCCAGGCAACCCAAGCAAUGGGUGAGUCCUGACCUGCCCUCAGCAGGACCCGGACCGAGACACAGUUUCCGCGGGCUCCUAGCCCCGGUCCAGGGAAGUUCCGGGAGCCGGAACUCGGCCGCUCCGUGCUCGGUGUAAGCUCCUAUAAGUGUAGGCUCCAAGAAGCAGCCCCCGCGGGCUCAGUUCCGGGAGCCGGAAUUCGGCCGCUUAGUGUUUGGUGUAUGCUCUGAUAGUAGCAGGGUCCAAGAAGCAGCCUCCGCGGGCUCCGCAGCCCUGAGCCAGGGCGGUUCCGGGACGGUUCCGGGAGCCGGAACUCGGCCGCUCUGUGCUCGGUGUAAGCUCCUAUAAGUGUAAGCUCCAAGAAGCAGUCCCCGCGGGCUCAGUUCCGGGAGCUGGAAUUCGGCUUCUUGGUGUUUCGUGUUUGCUCUGAUAUUAGCAGGGUCUAAGAAGCAGCCUCCGCAGGCUCCGCAGCCCGGAGCCAGGGCAGUUCCGGGACGGUUCCGGGAGCCGGGACUUGGCCGCCCCGCGCUCCGUGUUCACUCCGAUAAGAUCAGAUUUUAAGAAGCCCCCAGGCGCUGAACCCUAGCAAUCUGUCUGCAAGCCGCAGGCGAAUUGCAGCCUGAAAUUACCUGUUCUAUGGCUGAAUGAGCUGCGGUCAGUCAUCUUUCUUUUUUAACAUUUAUUUUUUAGUUGUAGUUGGACACAAUACCUUUAUUUCACUUAUUUAUAUUUAUGUAGUGCUGAGGAUUGAACCCAGGGUCUCACGUGUGUGAGGCAAGCACUCUACUACUGAGCCACAAACCCAGACCCUACUUUUUCUUCUAUUAGGUGCAGAAUGUCUGGUCUAGUUUCUAGGUCCUUGAUCCCCUUUGAGUUGAGUUUUUUGCAUGAUGAAAGGUGAGGACUUAAUUUCAUUUUGUUGCAUAUGAAUUUCCAGUUUUCCUAGCACCAUUUGUUGAAGAGGCUAUCCUUUCUCCAAUAUGUUUUUGGUACCUUGUCUAGUAUGACUGUAUAUAUGUGGGUUUGUCUGUAUUUAUAUGGGUUUGUAUCUGUGUCCUCUAUUCUGUACCAUUGAUAUACAAGUUUAUUUUGCUGCCAAUACCAUGCUGUUUUUGUUACUAUUGCUCUGUAGUAUAGUGAUGCCACUUGCUUCACUCUUCUUGCUAAGGAUUGCUUUGGCUAUUGAUGAUCUCUUAUUUUUCCAAAUGAAUUUCAUGAUUGCUUUUUCUAUUUCUAUGAGGAUCAUCAUUGGGAUUUUAAUUGGAAUUACAUAAAUCUGUAUAGUGCUUUUGGUAGUAUGGUCAUUUUGACAAUAUUAAUUCUGCCUAUCUAAGAACAAGGGAGAUUUUUUUUCCAUCUUCUAAGGUCUUCUUUAAUUUCUUUCUUUAGUAUUCUGUAGUCCUCAUUGUAGAGUUCUUUCACCUCUUUCAGUAAGUUGAUUCCCAAGUAUUUUAUUUAUUUAUUUUUAGUAUAUUGUAAAUAGGGUAGUUUUCCUAGUUGCUCUUUCUAAGGAUUUGUCACAUAGAAAUGUCUUUGAUUUAUGGGUGUGAAUUUUAUAUACUGCUAGUUUGCUGAAUUCAUUUAUUAGUCCUAGAAGUUUUCUGAUGGAAUUUUUGGAUCCUCUAGGUAUAAAAUCAUGACAUCAGAAAAUAGUGAUAGUUCAAAUUCUUCUUUUCCUAUUUGUAUCCCUCUAAUUUCUUUAGUCUAUCUGAUUGCUCUGGCUCAAGUUUUAAGAACUAUGUUAAAUGGAAGUGGUUCAGAGAAGUUAGCCAAUACCCAAAAAACAAAUGCCAAAUGUCUUCUCUGAUAUAAGAGGGGUGACUCAAAAUGGGGUAGGGAGGGAGAGAAUGGGAGGAAGAUUACCUCUAGAUAGGGAAGAGGGGUGGGAGGGAAAGGGAGGGAGAAGGGGAAUAGCAUGGAUGGUAGAAGGAGAACCUCAUCAUUAUAUAAAAUACAUGUAUGAAGAUGUGAAUUUGGUGUCAACAUAUCUUAUAUACAGAGAUAUGAUAAAUUGUGGUAUAAAGGUGUAUUAAGAAUUGUAAUGCAAUAAUAAUAAUAAUAAAGCUCAUGUAAAAAUAUAAAUAAAUAAAAAUAAAAAAAGAAGUGGUGAAAGAGGGCAUCCCUAUCUUGUUCCAGGUUUUAGGAGGAAUUAUUUCAACUUUUCUCCAUUUAGAAUGAUGUUGGCCUUGGGCUUAGCAUAGAUAGCUUUUACAAUGUUGAGAUAUGUUCCUGUUAUUCCUAGUUUUUGUAGUGUUUUGAACAUGAAGAGGUGCUAUAUUUUGUCAAAUGUUUUUUCUGCAUCUAUUGAGAUGAUCAUAUGAUUCUUAUCUUUAAGUCUUUUGAUGUGAUGAAUUACAUUUAUUGAUUUCUUUUUUUUAAAAUUUUUUAGAUGUUGAUGGACCUUUAUUUUAUUCAUUUAUUUAUAUGUGGUGCUGAGAACCAAACCCAGGGCCUCACACAUGCUAGGCAAGUGCUCCACCACUAAGCCACAACCCCAGCCCUCAUUUAUUGAUUUCUGUAUGUUGAACCAACCUUGUAUCCCUGGGAUGAACCCAACUUGGUCAUGGUGGACUGUCUUUUAAAUAUGUUUUUGUGUUUGAUUUGCCAGAAUUUUAUUGAGAAUUGUUGCACCUAUGUUCAUUAGAUAUAUUGGUCUGAAGUUUUCUUUCCUUGAUGUGUCUUUGUCUGGUUUUGGUAUCAGGGUGAUACUGGUUUCAUAGAAUGAGUUUGGAAGGGUUCCCUCUUUUUAUAUUUCAUAGAAUAAUUUGAAGAGUAUUGGUGUUCUUCUUUAAAGGUCUUGUAGAACUCAGAUGUAUAUCCAUCUGGUCCUGGGCUUUCCUUUGUUGGUAGGCUUCUGAUGACAUCUUCUAUUUCAUUACUUGAAAUUGAUCUGUUUAAUUUGUGUAUAUCAUCUGGUUCAAUUUGGGUAGAUCAUAUGACUCUAGAAAUUUGUUGAUGUCUUCAAGAUUUUCUAUUUUAUUUGAGUAUAAAUUUUCAAAAGUUUCUAAUUAUCUUCCGUGUUUCUGUAAUGUCUGUUGUGAUAUUUCUUUUUUCAUCAUGGAUGUUAAUAAUGUGAGUUUUCUCUCUCCUCUUCCUUAGCACGGCCAAACAUUCAUGAAUUUUAUCUUUUUUUUUUAAAGAACAAACUUUUUGUUUUCAAUUUUUUUCAAUUGUUUCUUUUGUUUCAAUGUCAUUGAUUUCAGCUCUGAUUUUAAUUAUUUCCUGUUUCCUACUGCUUUUGGUGUUGAUAUGUUCUUCCUUUCCCAGGGCUUUGAGAUGUAAUGUUAGGUCAUUUUUGUUGACUUUUUUUUUUUUUUACUGCCUUCAUAGUGUCCCAGAAAUUUUGAUGUUGUACAAGUGUUCUCAUUUACCUGUAAGAAUUUUUAAAUCUCCUUUUAGAUGUCUUGUGUAAUCCAUUGUUCAUUCCAUAGCAUAUUGUUUAGUCUCUAGGUAUUGGAGUAGCUUCUAUUUUUUAUUUUAUCAUUGAUUUCUAAUUUCUUUCCAUUAUAAUCUGAUAGAAUGCAGGGUAGUCUCUCUAGUUUUUUGUAUUUGCUAAGAGUCGUUUUGUGGCAUAAUAUAUGGUCUAUUUUAGAGAAGGAUCCAUGUGCUGCUAAGAAGAAAGUGUAUUCACUCAUUGAUGGAUGAAAUAUUGUAUAAUACACUUGUUAAGUCUAAGUUGUUGAUUGUAUUAUUGAGUUCUAUAGUUUCUUUGUUUAUCUUUUGUUUGGAAAUCUAUCCAGUGGUGAGAGAGGUGUGUUAAAGUCACCAGUAUUGUUGUGUUGUGGUCUAUUUGAUUCUUGAACUUGAGAAGAGUAUGUUUGAUGAACAUAGAUGUUCCAUUUGGGGGGCAUAUAUACUUAUAAUUGUUAUGUCUUGUUGAUGUAUGGUUCUCUUGAGCAGUGUAAUAUCCUUCUUUUUUUUUUUUAUUAACUUUGGCUUGAAGUCUAUUUUAUUUGAUAUGAGGAUGGAAACCCCUGCUUGUUUCUGCAAUUCAUGUGAGUGGAAUUUCUUGCCCCAAACUUUCAUCUUUAGUCUGUGGAUGUCUUUUCCUAUGAGAUGAGUCUCUUGAAGGCAGCAUAUUGUUGGGUCUUUUUUUUAAAAAAUCCAAUCUUCCUUCUAUAUCCUUUGAUUGGUGAGUGCAGGCCAUUAACCUUCAGGGUUUUGAUUGAGAUAUGAUUUGUAUUCCCAGUCAUUUUUGUUUAUUUUUGAUAUUAAACUUGACUUGGUUUCUUCUUUUAUUGGGUUUUUCUUUAUGUAAUACCUCUCUUUGCUGAUUGUCAUUGUUGUUUUUCAUCUCCUCCUCAUGGAGUAUUUUGCCAAGGAUUAUCUGUAGUGCAGGCUUUGUAGUUGUAAAUUCUUUUAACUUUUGUUUAUCAUGGAAGGUUUUUAUUUCAUCAUCAAAUCUAAAGCUUAAUUUUGCUGGAUAUAUGAUUCUUGGUUGGGAUCCAUUUUCUUUCAGAGCUUGGUAUAUGUUGUUCCAGCUUUCAGGGUCUAAGUUGAAAAAUCUGCAGAAAUCCUCAUUGAUUUCCCCCUAUAUGUAAUCUAAUUCUUUUCUCUUGUGGCCUUUAAAAUUCUCUCCUUAUUCUAUAUGCUAGGCAUUUUCAUUAUAAUGUGUUUUGGUGUAGAUCUGUUGUGAUUUUGUACAUUUGGUGUCCUGUAAGCCUCUUGUAUUUGAUUUUCUAAUUCAUUCUUCAUGUUUGGAAAAUUUUCUGAUAUUAUUUUAUUGAAUAGGUUGUUCAUUCCUUUGGUUUGUAUCUCUGUGUCUUCCUCCAUACCAAUAAUGCUUAAAUUUGGUCUUUUUAUGUUAUCCCAUAAUUCUUGAAUGUUCUGCUUAUGGUAUUUUACCAUCUCACUGUGUGGUCAACUUUAUUUUCAAGAUUAUAUAUUUUGUUUUCAUUGUCUGAGGUACUGUCUUCCAAGUGAUCUAAUCUGUUGGUGAUGUUUUCUAAUGAGUUCUUAAUUUGGUUUAUUGUUUCCUUCAUUUCAAGGAUUUUUUUAAGAACCUCUAUCUCCUUAUUAAAGUAAUCUUUUGCUUCCUGUAUUUGCUUAUGUAGCUCUUUAUCAAAGUGAUCUUUUGCUGCCUAUAUUUGCUCUUAUAUAUAUCAUCCUUUAAUUCUCAGAUCAUUUUAAUUAUGUACAUCCUGAACUCGUUAUCUGUAAUUUCUUCUUCCAUGCUGGCCAUGGAUUCUAAUAAUGUCAUAUCUUCAUUUGUUUGGGGCACUUUCUUCCCUUGUUUAUUCAUGUUGUUCGUGUCUUCCCUUCUAGCACUUUGGAUCCGAGAUGUUACAGGUUUUUUGUUUUUUUUUUCGUUGUUGAUAGACCUUUUUAUUUUAUUCAUUUACUUAUACGUGGUGCUAAGAAUCGAACCCAGUGCCUCAUACAUAUCAGGCAAGCGCUCUACCACUGAGCCACAAUCCCAGCCCUGAUGUAACAGUUUUUUCCCUAUAGGCUUAUAUUGUCCCUACAGGGUUCUAGUACCUCUCCUUUAAGGGAGAGAACAAUAUUAACAGAUCCCAAUACAGAAAAUAUACAUCCUUAAAGCAAAUAGCUGCUAUUAAGAUGUUUAGGGUUUUGUCACAAUAUGCAGAAAUGGUGAGUUCAAUUAUUAUCUACAAUAUAAACAGUAGGUUUGCAAAAGGGCGUACAGUUUCUGAUGGUGGACAAAGAAAGAACCAGGGAUGGGGUGUAGGAUGGGAGAUUAAGGAGGUAGGAGGUGAGAAUAUAGUUGUUAGAUCUUAGGAAGUGUGAAAGAGGAAUCUAAAGAAGUUGGCUAGUAGCAGGAGAAAAAAGAGAAAGUGAUUUUGGGGAGACAAGUAAGUGGGAAGACAGUAGAGAGAGUACAACAAACAAACAAACAUAAAAAUUAAGAAAAAAAAUGUGGAAAUAGGAGCAAGAAUAUACAACACAACUGUAAUAUACUAUUGAGAUAUCCCAGUCCUCAGUAGCCUAAUUCAUGAAAAGUCCUUAGUUCACAAAUGUUGGGGAUAUGAGUGCGGGAGAAGAGAGAGAGUGAAAAGAAAAGAAGAGAGAGAGAGAGAGAGAGAGAGAGAGAGAGAGAGAACAAAAAGUUCUUGAAGGAAAAUACAAGGAUUGUUUUGUUGGAGUUCAGUAUCUUUCCUGCUUCACUUCUCAUCUAAUAGGUGGAGUUGUCUGUUGAUUACUGGUAUCUCCACCCUCAGAAUAGUGAAGGUUAUUAGGGUGGGAGAGUUGAUCUUGGGGGUGGAGCUCCUGGUUGGGGGCUAUAGCACUUGCUGGUCCCCGAUGGGAGACUGCACCCCAAGGAUCUCCUUUGGGGCCUGCUUGUAUGAUGUGGGCACCUUGUGUUAUCUCCUUGUAUCACCUGUAGACUUUACAAUUCCUAGUCUCUAAUUUAGUCUCUAAACUAUAUCUGACUCACCCCUCCCUUUCUACUUCACAAUCAGGAACCUCUGUCUCUGGAGGGCUUGAGGGCUACACUCUGAGGGCUGUGCAUCUGUCAUGGAGAGCUGUUUUGUAGUGGGCAGGUCAGGGCUAGGUGCAGCCACAAAGCAUUGUGCGAGGGUUAUUGGCUGCAGGGGAUGAGGGGGGUUAGUUGGGGACCAUAGGCACCUUGAUAUUGCUUAUAGACUCCAACUGGUGUCCCAAGCUGGGAGUUUCCCCAACUAAAGAUGGCGACAAAGGUGUCCUAAGAUGGAGGCAGCUGCUUUCAGAAACAGGUGUGGGUUCGGGUCGGGCUGGAUGGUGGCAUUGGCAGUAUGUUCAGAGAUACAGCUCUGUGGCAUGCAGUUUUGUGGCUGGUGGCUGUCUCCAGACCCUGUCCUGUGUCUCCAGGUGCAGGCUACCACAUGUAGGGCACUAUGGUAGUGGUUGCAGUGUCCCAAGUUGGGGCGACCUGGGGAGCCCCAUGUUGAUAGUUGGGGGGUCCCCGCGGAAAUGGUGGCCAUAGGUCUAGUGUAGGCAGGGGCCGGGUAUCCUGAGAGGGAUCGGAGGCCAGGACUCCUGCAUGGGUGGGUGGCCAGGGGUCCUGUGUGGGCCAGCGGCUGGGAGUUCUGCGCUGAUGCUGAGACCUGGAGUGAUAUGUUUUUUUUUUUUUAUUAAUUUUUUUUUACACAAAUGGAACACAACUUUUCAUUUCUUUGGUUGUACAUGCUGUAGAGUCACACCAUUCGUGCAAUCAUACCCAUACAUAGGGGUAAUAAUGCAUCUAAUUCUACCAUCUCCCCCCAACACUCUCCCUCCCUUCCCCUUCCUCUCCUCUCUCCCUUCUACUUAUCCAAAGUUCCUCCAUUCUUCCCUUGUGCAACCCCCACCCCAGCCCAUUAUGGAUCAGUAUCCACUUAUGAGAGAAAACAUUUGGCCUUUGGUUUUUUUUGGAUUGGCUUAUGUUGCUUAGCAUGAUAUUCUCCAACUCUGUCCAUUUACCUGUAAAUGCCAUAAUUUCAUUCCUCAGAUUUUUUUAACAAAAAAUAUUCAACAUAUUUCCAGAAAAAAACACUACAAGAUAACAAAAACACCCAUUCUAAGAAUUUAUCAUUGUGCCUCGAAUUAAGUAGGAAGUUAAGAUUUACAGCCUCAGGAAAAGCAAGAUGACAAUUACAGUAUAAAACUCUCAGAAAUAGGAACUUAAUAGAAAUCUGUACACUUAAGAGGAAAGGAAAAUAUCACAUGAGUUUCCUCUUACAGUGUCAGUAAAUAAUUUAUGAAAGAACACUGAAAACAGAAUUCAGAAAGACUGAAAACACAGCCUUGGAUGUACCUUUCCUGGAAAAACAAUCAUGACCUGUAUACCUGGGUGUAUGUGGGCAUACACACACACACACACACACACACACACACACACCUGCAAUGGUUUUUUCUUUCUUCCUGUAACUUCUGAAAUUACCAAGAGGUCAAAUUUACUUCGCUUCUAAUUCUUUUUGGUCCAUUGUAUCUAAACAACCCUCAUUUUAUCAUUUAUUACCGUAGUCCUUGAUUUAGACAGUUAAAAGGUCUAUAACAUAACUCCAUAAUACAGUUAGAUUUUAUCACAAAUUAUUUUACAAUUUCACAUUUUAUCUCCCCAACUGUGUUGUGAGUUUUUAAAAUAAGAUCUUGAGUAUUACUCUGAUUUUGGGUAUCAGAACUCACUGAUUUAAGAAGUGAUGCAUACUGUAAAUCUUCUAUAAAAACAUGUUUUGUUGAGUGAACUGCUACUUUUAAUGUAUAUAAUUAGUGGUGUUUUUUUUCUACUUUCAGUAUUAACUUAGAGAAAAUUCUCUAUAUUCCUAAAACCAUCUCAAAAUCCCAUUGAUGUUCAAACCACACACAUUGACAUUUUUAUUUGAAAAUUUACCAUGUACUCUUUGGAAAUAACAUGCAUUUAGUUUAUGUAAUGAAUUGUAAAUUACAUUUCCACAUUUAUAUUUCUUGUAGCCAUAUUUUGUAGCCAUAUUUUAUAGCUAUAUUGUGAGCAGUUUGACAAUAGAGAUCCAAGAAAACUUGAAACCUGAGUCAGAGGCCUGACUUAGAACUGUGGUUCAGCCACUGACUGAUUAGGGGUCCUGACACCAUGCCUGGUAGGUGCUCCAUAGAUGUUUGUGGGGUAAAAUAAUAAAUAAACAAAUACUUAAGCCCUCUAUAUCUCAGUGUCUUUAUCUAUUAAAAGGAGUUGCAAUGAAUAAAAUAAAAAAAUAAAAUAAAAUUUAAAAAAGGAGUUGCAAUUAUAUCUAACUUGGAGGAAUGUUGCAAGGAAUAAAAAGCAUAAUAUAUUAAACAUAAUAACCUAUCAGGUAAAAUGUUGAUUUCAGGACAUUCCAUAGGAAUUUGCCUGCUUUUCGUUUUCCCUCAGAUUUAGGGCAUUUUCUUUGUUGGGAUUCCAAAAACAUCUUUCUUUUUCUCUUUAAAAUAAAAUAAACCAAAUUUAUCUUUUAUUUCUCUUCUCACUAUACCCCAUUUAUUGCCAGAGCAUGCUUGUUGGUAUGUUCGCCACUUUAUUGUUAAUGUCCUUCUCUAGAUAUCCAACCACUCCGUGCAUUUUUCAUCUCUAUGAACCAUGUGCCUCUUGCACAGAAUCUGCCUACCCACUUGGGCUUUCUGAGGAUGACUACAUUUAGGUUGCAUACACAUGGGCUAUAUUGCUAAGUCACUGCUGUGAGUCAAUCUCAGGAAAAGAGGAAAUAAUUUCUGCAGCCACCCCACCCUACUCCUAAUGGCAAGAUAAGGAGAGUGAACUUUCCUUUCCUUUGUGGGGGUAUUGGAGGGACACUGGCAGAAACUGGUGGGAAAUUCCUGGGAAGUGCAUUGGUUCCUUAGGGAGGUCUAUUAACUUCUUCAAGAUAAAAGGGCUUCUUCUUAAGAAGUUUUGUGAUAUUCAAGUGCACACAAAUUUUCAAGUACGUAAGGCCACUGAAGAAAAUUGUUAAAAAUUCAGAUUUUUGCAGGAUCCUCCUACAAGAAGAUUCCCUUGUUAGGGGUAGUGCCUAGAAUCUGCAUUUAACAAUCACAACUUUCCCCUCUCCCAUUAUAUUGAUGCAAAUGAUUCUCUGCAAUUCAGGAAGGACUAUUAGUCUACCAAGAAUUGGUCAGCACUAUUCAUGGCAAAGCCAAGUCCAUCCAAAAGCCAAGUAUAAUACUAAUCAGGUUGGCAGGAUGAUAGGUUUCUUGCUCAGUUGGUUUCUUUGGAAACAUUAAUUCUAGUAGAACCAGAGCAAUUAAUAGAUUUAGCCAUUUGGAUCUUCAGUGGUGUAGAUGACGAACUCAAGACCACCCAAAAUUGUGCCUAGUUUUAGGUGACUCACUGUAAGGGUGUUCUAAAAUAUGUUCAGAAAAAGAAGAACCAGAUUUAAGAAAAUAGACAUGAAGAUCAAAGGAAUAGAAGAGAAGACAUAGAGACAGGCCCACAUAAAUGCAGUUAUCUAAUCUUAAGACAAAGGAGACAAAAAUAUAUAUUGGGGAAAAGAUAGCCUCUUCAACAAAAUGGUACUGGUAAAACUGGAAAUUCUUAUGUAGUAGAAUGAAAUUUAACCCCUAUCUCUCAUCCUGCACAAAACUCAACACAAACUGGAUCAAAGACCUAGAAAUUAGACCAGAAACCCUACAUCUGCUAGAAUAAAAUGUAGGCCCAACCUUCCAACAUAUUGGCUCAGGAAUUGAAUUUCUUAACAAGACUCCUAAAGCACGAGAAGUAAAAUUUAAAAAUCAAUUAGUAUCAAAUUGAAAAGCUUCUUCACAGCAAAGGAAACAAUCUAGAUCAUGAAGAGAGACCCUACAGAAUGGGAGAAAAUCUUUGCCACCUGCACGUCAGAGUGUUUAUAUCCAGGAUAUGCAAAGAACUCAAAAUUCUUAACACCAAAAACAAACAAACAAACAAACAAACCAAACAAUAAAUGGGCAAAGGAAUGAAACAGACACUUCUCAAAAGAAGAAAUAAAAACUGUUAACAGAUAUCUGAAAAAAAUUCAAUAUCUCUAGCAAUUAGAGAAAUGCAAAUUAAAACUACAUGGAGAUUUCAUCUCACUGCAAUCAGAAUGGCAAUUAUCAAGAAUACAAGUAACAAUAUAUAUUGCUGGUGGGACUACAAAUUGGUGAAACCAUUCUGGAAAGCAAUAUGGAGAUUCCUCAGAAAAUUUGGAAUGGAACCACCAUUUGACCCAGUUAUUCCACUCUUUGAUACAUAUCCAAAGGAUUUAAAAUCAGCAUACAACAGGGACACAGUCACAUCAAUGUUUAUAGCAGCACAAUUCACAAUAGCUAAGCUAUGGAUCCAACAUAGGUGCCUUUCAACAUUGGAAUGGAUAAAGAAAAUGUGCCAUAUAUGCACAAUGGAGUGCUACUCAGCCAUAAAGAAGAAUGACUUUACAUCAUUUUCUUGCAAAUGGAUGGAUCUGAAGAUCACCAUGCUAAGUGAAAUAAGCCAAUUCCUCAUGCUUUCAAAAAAACCAAAACCAAAACAAAACCCACAAUGGUCAAAUGUUUUCUCUGAUAUGUGGAAGCUAACCCACAAUAAGGGGUGGGGAAUAAAUAUUCAGUAGAUUAGAUGAAGGGGAAUGAAGGGAAGGGAUGGGGAUAGGAAAAGGAAAGACAGUGGAAUUAAUUUGAAAUAACUUUCUUAUGUAUAUAUAUGAAUGGUGAGUGAAUCUCACCAUUGUGUACAUCCACAAGAAAUUAAUUUAAAAAAAAAACUAUGGACAAAUGGCAGAAAGAUCAAUAGAGGGAAGGGAGCAGGAGGUGAGGGGAGGAAAGGGGAAGGAGAGGUACUGGGGUCUAUAUUAGAACAAGAUAUACUCCAUGCUUGUAUAAUUAUGCCGAAAUGGACUCUAAAAAGAAUCAACUAAAAAGAAUCAAUUAAAAAAUGACAUGUAUAAAGAAGGUGAAAGAUAAAAACUCGGAAGUCCAUGGGGAAAAGGGCCAUCUUCAUAUAGCUGAAUGUCACCAGCCAGAGAGGUUCGCAUUCAUGUAUGUGGCUCCAAAGGCAAAGCACAUCUAUCCCAGCAAUCUGUCCCAAUCUACACCCCACCACACUGUGCAUCUAGCUCAGUGAAUUGUCUCACAAACAUCACUAGGAUGCAAAUGACAAAUCCACCCAGACAGGUAGCACUGGACAAAUGAUAAGCCCAGUCACUCUGGCCUUGAAGAAGAAUAACCGGACAAGUAAUUUUUAGAAUCAAUAAACUCCCAUGGAGACCAGCACCAUACUCUGUAGAAAGUAGAGACACACUUUUAUCACAGCAACCCUGCAAGUCUGUGGCCCACUCCACUGCCACUGUCCCCGCCACCCUCCUCCCCAGCCCAAUGCCUCUUUGCAUCAUAAAGAAAGGAGGAAAGGCAUAAGAAAGAGAGAGGGAGGAAAAGUUCUUCUCUUUUUUGUCUAUUUAAGCCAUCCUUGGUCCUUGGGACCAAAGUCUUUUCUUGAGGGAUCAUUCCCAAGAUUUGAACCUAUGUCCAUAAACUGCCGCCAAUGUGCCCAGCACCACUUCUGCUUUGUGGUGACCAUCUCUCACUGCAUGCUUCUCAUGACUCCCCCAACAUGGUCCUGGCCUUGUUGCCUACCUCAUGAAUAUUAGGCUCUCUGUGCCUUUCAUUAGGUUCAUCUGAUUAAUCCAUCCAUGGAACUAUACUUUGAACAGAGGUCCUUACUCUCUAGAGAUUACAAGAGUAUUUGCACCAUUCUUUCAGAGAAAAGGCCAGUGAUUUUGUUGUCUUCCCAAAGGAGUGAGUCUUUUGGCAUCUCAACAUAGGCAGGCUAACCUCUGGGUUGCACAGAAGUCUCCUGAGUGAGAAGUGGUAGAAGACAGAAUAUAAGAACUUUGGCUCUCCCACUAAGAAGACUGUGUUCCAAUCCUGAACUUGCUGAUUAAUGGAUAUGUGUACUUCAGCAAAUCAUUUACUUUCCCCAAGUUUCCUUUUAUAUAGGAUGAAAUGAUAAUUCUUAUUAUCAUUUUCAUCCUAUAUAAAAGGAAAUUGAAUCAUGCAUCACAUUUGGCAUACUGCUGGGUAUAUAGUAAGCACUCACAAGUGUUUACUGGUCUCAUUCUUUUCAUGAUUACGUAUGUCCCAUUUCACUAUGAAUCAUAGGAAUAGCAACAUAUCUGAUACUAUGACCCACCCAGCAUGGAUCUUUCUCAGGAAGUGUUUUUACUUUAACAUUUCUGCUGGUUGCUGGAAGCCAGAGAUCUUGACAUUUGAUUCUUCUGGACAAUACACAGAUUGUGAAUGAUGGAUUUGAGCUUUUCUUAAUUUUUUAGUUGGCUCAAUCUUGUUUGAACAACUUGGAAAAUCAUAGAGAUACUCGGAGUUGAACAUUUGUUUGUUGAAGUUUUACUUAAUCUUCUUAAGAGAACUAUAGUGCCAGAUAAAUAACUCCAGAAUAGGAAGGUUUCAUUCUUUCAUAAUAGAGAAAUCAUCUCAGUAUGUGAAUUUGGAAUCCUAGUAGCUUUUAACUCUCUUUCUUCUCCUCUGUUUUCUUUUAUUUUAGGAAUGAUUUCAUUUGUAAAAUUAUCAGUAUGGAAAUAAUGCUUAUUACUAUUAUAAGAAAACUGAGCCAAUCACAACAUAUAUAGGUAAAAACAGAAGUUCUGCUUCUUGUGUAUUUCCCUUUAAACUUUUAUAUGAAGUCAUGUACAGAAAUAAACACAUUUAUUUUUGCAGAGUAAUGGGGUAAUGAUCUAGACACUUUGGUAGACACUACUAAUUGCCUAUCCAAUAUCUAUCUUCUUUUAUUUUUUUAAUGUAUAUUUUUUAGUUGUCAAUGGACCUUUAUUUUAUUUAUUUAUAUGUGGUGCUAAGAAUCGAACCCAGUGCCUCGCACAUGGCUAGGCAAGUGCUCCUACCACUUAGCUACAACCCCAGAUUUCUUUUCUUUUCUUUUUUAAAGUAUUUUUUAGCUAUAGAUGGACACAUAUCUUUAUUUUGUUUAUUUAUUUUUAUGCAGUGCUGAGGAUCGAACCCAGUGCCUCACAUGUGUGAGGCAGGCACUCUGCCACUAAGCUACAGCCCCAGCCCUUAUUUUUUUUUUUAUUAAUAGAAUCUACAAUUUUGUUCCAAGCAGCCAUGUACCCAAUUCAAAAAUCUGCUUUUCCUCACCUUCAUUAUAAUGAGGGAUACUCCAGUGUUAUAGUUCCAGCUAAUGAGAUGGAAGCAAAAUUCUGCUGAGAAUUUCUAAAAGUUUUGCUCUGCUGAUGUAAGCAAGCACCAUUCCUGCCUCUCCACCUUUCCUCUGUCCUGACUGGAAAGAGAAUGAAAGCCUGGAGAAGGAAUCCUGUGACUAUGAGGUGACAGUGAUGACCAACUCUCCCCAUCCAGGACCACAGAAGGGAAGUAGAUCUCUGAGAGAGUCUGUAGUGCUCUGUAUCAAGUGCUCCUCGAGUUUCUGCCCUUUGAUUCUUGUUAUGAGAGAAAUAUAAGUCUUACCAGCUUAAAGCAGUGUCACAAUUCGAUUAUAGCUGUGUUGACAUAUUGAUCCUUUCAGUCUUAUGAGUUGAGUACAGAAGGAAGGGUGAGGAGUCCUGCUAGGAGAGGCCCUUGGUUAAUUGCUUUGGGCCACAAAUAGACCUUAUUUUUCACAUUUUAUACAAACAUUAUAAUUUUCAAUGCAUAUCAUGACCUGAAAAAGAAAUUAUAUCUUCAUAUGUAGAUUUCCAUAACAUUUGAAUCAAUUCUGAUUGUUACAUCCAUUGGUUCUCAUUUUCCUUUUUAUACCACAGUACCUUGAGUAUCCAUUCAUUUAUAUUUCCUUCAAAACAGCAGUAUAGUUCUCUAAGCCAUGAAUAUAGUAUGGCGUUCUCUUCUUAAAGGUUUUUUCAUUUCCUGUCUCUCUCUCAUUCUUUCUAUCUCUGUCUCUGUCUGUUUCUCUCGUUCUCUCCCCCUUCUCCACUCCCUGAUCUCUAUGUUCAAAUAGUACUGCACUGAAUAUCUCUGUGAAUAUUUGUACGCUUUUAUAAAGAAUAUUCCCUCAGAAAAAAAUCACAAAACAUGAAUUUCUCAUUGAAGGAUAUGUGUAUUUAAAAUGUUAGCUCACCACUGACAUAAUGAAAUUCCUUUCAAACUGUGAUACCGAUAUAUAUUUCUACCACUCAUGUAUAAGCUGCCUGUUUUCUCAACUCUAACUCCUAUGGAGUAUAAUCCAUCUUUUUAUUUUGUAUAAAUCUUAGUUUUCUGCCUUACCUUCUUUGGCCUGGGAGUUGGAUGCCGAGAUGGAGAGGUACAAAAUUUUCAGUUCAGUCACACGACUGAGACUUGAAUCCUGGAAAAAGCCUCAUCAUGAAGCAAUGUCUCCUGGACUCCUUCUGUGGCUCUAUAUGUACCACCCACUUCUACUCUUUGAGAGGCCUUGGGAAGAUGCACUUUAUAUCUCUGGAGAAAACUGUCAACUAUGGCUUACAACAUGAGGUGUUGGUGAGGACUGGAGAAAUGGGUUCUCUCUUACAAUGCUGUCAUUUAUGUUAAUUGGUAUAAACCAUUUUAGAAAAGUAAUUCAGUAAUGUGAAUCGAACAUCUAAAAGUGUAUUCACUCUCUGUCCCAACAUUUUUAAAGAGUCCUGAUAGGUAUAAUAUCGAAUAUUUAUUUAUAAGGAUGUUUGCUGCAAUAUUAUACAGAAUAGAAAAAAUUCUGGGAAAACAAAUAGAAAUUAUCUUUGUUAAAUAGUCUAUUUGAUGCCCGUAUAUUUGAAUAGUAUUUACUUAGUUAUUUAAAAUGCCAUAUUAAAGUAGAAAUUGUUAGUUAGCUUUGCUUCACUAUGAUCAAAGUACCUGAAAAGAACAACUUAGAAGAGGAAAGACUUAUUUUGGCUCAUGGUUUCAGAGGAUUCAGCCCCUGGUCAGCUGACUCCAAGACAGAAACAUCAUGGUGGACAUGUGGGCAGAGGAAAGUUUCUCAGGGUAUGGUAGCGAGGGAGCAGAGAGAGAAAGAGAGAGGAAAGGAUCAGGGAUAAGUUAAUCCUUCCUGGGCAUGCCUCCACCAGCUUACUUCAUCCAGUUAGGUCCCACCUCCAAGUAGUUCAUCCAAUCAAUGGAUUAAUCUAGUCACUGCCUAAAAGCCUCAACUCUGAACUUGGCUGCAUUGGAGACCAUGUUUUCAACAGAUGAGCAUUUGGGGGACAUUCCAGAUCUAAAGCAUAACAGAAAUUUAUUUGAGAAAUGUUAAGAGACAAAAGAAGAUACAAAAGAAUAUGUGUAAUAUGAUCCCCAUUUUGAAGUACUUGUGGAAGAUAUUUACACCAAAAUAUUCAUGGCAAUUAUCAAAGAUGGUUGAGAUCAUGAAUUUUUUUUAAAAAAUCUAAAUUUGUUCUAAUUAGUUACAGAUGACAGUAGAAUAAAUGUUGAAACAUUAUACACAAAUGGAGCACAACUUCUCCUUCCUCUGGCUGAACAUGGUGUAGAGUCAUAUCACUAGAGUAAUGCAGAAGGGAGUGAGGGGAGGUGAGAUCAUGAAUUUUUAUUGAUUUUCUUUGUCCUUAUUUGGUAGUUUAAAUUUAUGUAUUUUAAGUAGUUAUUCUUAAAUAUAAAUUAAUUAAAUAAUGUUAAAUAAAAAUAAAAUAGUAGUGAUCUGCAUUUAGAUUUCCUGUGAAA